AUGGCUCCACGACUAAGUCCUUGCACUGGGACAUCUGACGUGACAAUUCCACGACAGUUGGCGCCCACCGUGGGGCUCGCGCACGGUGGAUUUGAGUUCUUGAAGGGCAGCUUCGAAGGGCUCAGGGGAUACGCUGUGGGCCGGAUGACCAAGAGUCGUCGCGGCAAGCUCUACGUCGACGAUGCAGGCUGGGGCCCCGACGCCGGCUCAAUCGAGUACGGAUGCCGGGUCCCCUUCGGCGGAAUCCACGUUUUCAUCGGCAAGAUCGGCGAGCCAGGCCCUGAGCCGGACAUCUGCACCGACCUCGUCGAG
rnacentral:rRNA from 1 species